AAUAGAGCGCAUUAUGGUAACAUAGUGUGAUACUUCUUAGAGGGACAUUUCGGGUAUACCGGAAGGAAGUUUGUGGCAAUAACAGGUCUGUGAUGCCCUUAGAUGUUCUGGGCCGCACGCGCGCUACACUGACGACUUCAACAAGUUUUUUUCUUUGAAAAAGUCCUUGGCUGGAAAGUCUGGGUAAUCUUUUAAACGGUCGUCGUGAUGGGGCUAGAUUCUUGCAAUUAUUAAUCUCCAACGAGGAACC
rnacentral:rRNA from 1 species